GAUGAACGCUGGCGGCGUGCCUAAUACAUGCAAGUCGAGCGGACAGACGAGGAGCUUGCUGCUCUGACGUUAGCGGCGGACGGGUGUGUAACACGUGGAUACCCUACCUAUAAGACUGGGAUAACUUCGGGAAACCGGAGCUAAUACCGGAUAACAUGUUGAACCGCAUGGUUGAACAGUGAAAUACGGUCUUGCUGUCACUUAUAGAGGGAUCCGGGCCGCAUUAGCUAGUUGGUACGGUAACGGCUUACCAAGGCAACGAUGCGUAGCCGACCUAAUAGGGUGAUAGGCCACACUGGAACUGAGACACGGACCAGACUCCUACGGGACGCAGCAGUAGGGAAUCUUCCGCAAAGGGCGAAAUCCUGACGGAGCAACGCCGCGUGAGUGAAGAAGGUCCUCGGAGCGUGAAACUCUGUUAUGAGGGAAGAACAAAUGUGUAAGUAACUAUGCACGUCUUGACGGUACCGAAUAAAAAAGCCACGGCUAACUACGUG
rnacentral:rRNA from 1 species